rnacentral:lncRNA from 1 species
UACACUCUAAAUCUAUGUGUUCUAAUAUAGAACACUGGACGCGUCCAUACGUUCUGCCACAGAAUACGAAUGUUCUAAUUCGUGCAGCACGUGUUCUAUUGCUGAACGCCUGUGAUCUGUUGUAGAACGCGUGUGUUCUCUCCUGGGAGAAGUCCAUGCACAUUAGCAGAGAUUAUGUGCUCAAUAUUGUUAGACAAAUUUAAAUUCGACCAUCAUAUUUGUGUUUUCGGAAUAUUUAUUUUUGAGAAGAAGAGAGGCUGGUAGAUUGGUAAGCCAAACAGAAAAUGUGUAUAAGAAGGGUUAUAUUUUGAGUUUGAUGAAUAAUAAAUAGUUUAUAAACAUGGCAUACUUUGUGUUAAUAUAACUCAUAUGUAGCCUGAAUAAAUACAAGAAACAUUACUGAAAUACAGCUCAUUGCUAAUACAUGGAAAUAACUUGCUUGCAUUGGGGACAUUUACGUGUAUCAGAACACUGGCAUUCUGAUGGCUAAUUUUAGCUGGAUCUUUAAUGGGUGCUCUGGAACAUAUACGGUCUAUUAGCUGAACGCCUGCGUUCUCUCCUAGAACGCGUGUGUUCUGCUGUGUUCUAUAAUGUUAUAUGCAAGAACACGUGUUCCAUUAAUAGAACAUCGGUGUUCUGUUUUUCUAACAAGCAUUCAAAGCUGUCCAUGCUCUGUGAUUCACAUCCGUUAUGUGAGAAACUGGCGUGACAUCGCAUGUAUUUGGCGCUACAAUUUCCUAUGAUCUGAGGUGUGUCUAUGGUAAGUAUCCAUCUAGGAAUACUUUUGUUUCAUAUUUAAUACGUACCUAAAAUAAUGUAAUAUUUCGGCGAUAUAUUCAUAUGCUGAUCGCAAGCGAAAUAAAACCGGCCCCUUACGAAACGCAUAGCAGACGACAUAUUACUCGCCAUUUUGACCGUCAUUUCUGCCAUUGUUCCACUCGCUUUAUUUACAAAUUAUGAGAUGAAAUUCCAAUCCAAAUUGCAAUUGUCACUUUUUGAACGUUUCCGUUUAUUUGAAUGAUGUUCAAAUAAAAUGAAUAUAUAUUUCAGGUUCUAUAUGAAUCGCCUGAAAGUGCGAAGCGGGCUACAUGCAACAAAUCUCUGAACAUCUAAUUUGGGAUCCGAGGGCAUGAUCAGCAAGCAUCGACAAAGCAUCGAAAUCAGCAGAGAGUAGUGGUGCAUUGCAGAUAAUCAGUACCAUCCAUGGAAAUUAUUGCACACAGCACACGUCUACACAAAGGAGGAAAAGAAACAAGGUUUUGCAGAUCAAAUAAGAAGGAUGUUGGGGAGUCAUAUUUGACAUGAAGUUUCCUGAAGCCUGCGAUGGUCAUGUGGCUGUUACAAACAUCGUCCUUUGGGGAUAUUUACCCACAAGAAACAUCUGCGAAGUACAUGCGCUUCGUGAAAGACUUGAAACUUAAGUUAUCUUAAGUAUGGAAGUAUGCUUCAAUUUGCUACACGACAGUUUGUAAUGUUUCAUGAAGAACUCUGACUCAUAAGUGACUUGAAUAUCCAUGAUCAUCCCAAACAAAUAUAAUAAAGAGUUCAUGGUUGCAGUUCAGAAUUUCGUCCGUGUGAUUUUAUGCCAGAGAAUAUGCAUGGGUGUAUGGUUCAAAUUCUUACACCUUGAAAAACAUCGGGUAAAUUGUAUUCGACACACACGAUGAGUUGUCGUUUCAGUAAUGUGGAAGUACGUGUCCGAGAACGUGUAGUGUUCUGAAUCUCGGUCCAGAACACUUUACAGGCGUUCUAAAAGUGUUACAU